GUUUUUUACAUCUGUGUGGAGAACGAGCAACAUCAACAAUUCUUACCUACGCAAUCAACAAACUUAGAAGAGUUGCACAUGUGCAGGAAGCAGUCUGCCUGGACAUGCUGUCAAGCAGAGUGCAGGAGGAAGAGCAAACUAACAGAUGGAAGAGAGCUGGUGAAACAGAAGAAAGCUCCUUGCAUGGUGUUGUCUCUCAGCACAGUCUGUGCAUCACAUUCACACUUGUAAAAUGGGAUUGAGACUUCCUUGCUAAACAGAGUGUCUGUAGAAAUGAGACUAUGUCAAGUAAUCAGAAAGACAACUGGAUAUCAUGUCUGAGGAGGAAAACAGGGCCGAGCUAGUCUUCUUGGCAAAGCAAGAUUGAAACCUUGAUUUAAUAAAGCAGGAUGACGCCA